rnacentral:rRNA from 1 species
UACGGAGGGGCUAGCGUUGUUCGGAAUUACUGGGCGUAAAGCGCACGUAGGCGGCGAUUUAAGUCAGAGGUGAAAGCCCGGGGCUCAACCCCGGAAUAGCCUUUGAGACUGGAUUGCUAGAAUCUUGGAGAGGCGAGUGGAAUUCCGAGUGUAGAGGUGAAAUUCGUAGAUAUUCGGAAGAACACCAGUGGCGAAGGCGGCUCGC